rnacentral:rRNA from 1 species
AUGUCGGCCGGAUUCGGCCUCCGCCGUAAUUCCUUUCUUGAAGAUGGGGAGGAUCUGCCGGCGGCUCCUUUGCCGGAGUACAGGCCACAUCAGCGGAGGAGAAGGCCAUGCCGCCGCCGCCACCCUCGUUCCUCUCUCCGGCAACCGUCGGGGGAUGGGGGACGCGGGCGGCUGCCGGAGCGUGCCGUGGAGCAACCAAUGACGAAGCGGGAGGAUCUGCCGGCGGCUCGGGAAGGUGCAACGAAAAGUAGACCCUUCAACACACUCAAAAUAUGUUGGCCAUUUAUCGGGUUGAAAUUUGUGACUGCUGUCCUGGAAGCUUAG